rnacentral:rRNA from 1 species
GACGUAGGGCGCGAGCGUUGUCCGGAUUUAUUGGGCGUAAAGAGCUCGUAGGCGGCUUGUCGCGUCGGCUGUGAAAUCCCGUGGCUCAACUGCGGGCUUGCAGCCGAUACGGGCAGGCUAGAGUUCGGUAGGGGAGACUGGAAUUCCAGGUGUAGCGGUGAAAUGCGUAGAUAUCUGGAGGAAUACCGGUGGCGAAGGCGGCAUCCUGGACCGGCAUUGACGCUGAGGAGCGAAAGCCAGGGGAGCAAACGGG